AUUGAACGCUGGCGGCAGGCCUAACACAUGCAAGUCGAAUGGUAACAGGAAACAGCUUGCUGUUUCGCUGACGAGUGGCGGACGGGUGAGUAAUGUCUGGGAAACUGCCUGAUGGAGGGGGAUAACUACUGGAAACGGUAGCUAAUACCGCAUAACGUCGCAAGACCAAAGAGGGGGACCUUCUGGCCUCUUGCCAUCAGAUGUGCCCAGAUGGGAUUAGCUAGUAGGUGGGGUAACGGCUCACCAAGGCGACGAUCCCUAGCUGGUCUGAGAGGAUGACAGGCACACCUGGAACUGAGACACGUUCCGGAUUCCUAGGGGAGGCAGCAGUGGGGAAUAUUGCACAAUGGGCGCAAGCCUGAUGCAGCCAUGCCGCGUGUAUGAAGAAGGCCUUCGGGUUGUAAAGUACUUUCAGCGGGGAGGAAGGGAGUAAAGUUAAUACCUUUGCUCAUUGACGUUACCCGCAGAAGAAGCACCGGCUAACUCCGUG
rnacentral:rRNA from 1 species